GUACUCUGGUUUCUCUUCAGAUUGAAUAAGUCUUUCGCCUUUUACUAAAGAUUUCCGUGGAGAGAAGUCUUGAGUUCUUAACUAAUUUUUUGAGGCCUUGCUUUGGCAGGAUU
ensembl:snRNA U5 U5 spliceosomal RNA